rnacentral:rRNA from 1 species
AUACGGAGGAUCCGAGCGUUAUCCGGAUUUAUUGGGUUUAAAGGGAGCGUAGGUGGACAGUUAAGUCAGUUGUGAAAGUUUGCGCCUCAACCGUAAAAUUGCAGUUGAUAUUGGCUGUCUUGAGUACAGUAGAGGUGGGCGGAAUUCGUGGUGUAGCGGUGAAAUGCUUAGAUAUGACGAAGAACACCGAUUGCGUAGGCAGCUGACCAGACCGCAAAUGACGCUCAUGCACGAAAGUGCGGCGAUCGAACAGGAUUAGAUACCCUGGUAGUCCGCACAGUAAACGAUGAAUACUUGUUUUCGGCGAUAUAAUGUCGGAGGUAAAGCGAAAGCGAUAAGGAUUCCUCCUGGGGAGUACGCCGGCAACGGUGAAACUCAAAUGAAUUGACGGGG